AAUCCCCGAAAAACCUGCCUAUGACCCAGCAGUAGGGCUUUUCGGGCUCACAGAGAAGCUUUUAGGGCAAACCAAGAAUUGGAAUGGCUCUUUCCAAAGUCAAGGAUACGGUUUCCUCCUUUCCUGAAGUCGUUUUCAGGUGAUGGGGAAGAAAUUCAAUCAGCUCUGCGAGAAAUGACAGGUCAGGGGACUGUAACCAGUGUGUUCAUAGGGGGUAAGCAUGUUGGUGGCCGCGAAUUGUGAGGCCCUUCGUUUUGUUCAACUGCUCCUUUGGAGAUUUAUUCGCUAGCUCCCUCUCCCUUUUGGGUCAGUGCAUAUGAAUUUAAUGUAGCUUUGUCCUUGGUUGUUGGGUGCGGAGGUCAUGCGAAUGAGCCAAGAUGGUAACCUUGUGGCCCUGCUCACAGAUGCAGGGGCCGCCUUUGACAACCAUGCUCAGUUAUGAAACAUUCUGAACAUGCAGCUUAUGUGAUUUUGUGUAGAAGUGUAGAAAGGAAGCUGGACAAUGAUGGUGUAGCUAAGACAGCGUUUGGUGUAUUAUGAUGUAGUUAUCAAAAAAAGCUGGUCUGUAAAAAUAAGCUUUUCAUGCAAUGCUAUGUUGUUGAAUACGGUGCACUGAUUAAAAUAUAGAUCAAUCUGCAAGCAUUACAGUU